GACUAGAUAAUUUAGGUAUAAAAGGGAAAAAGUUAUGCUACCGUGCACUGUAGCCCUAAACGCUGACUCCUUCGAUCGGCGAUCUCUUCUUCUUGUCCAAACUCGUCGGCUGCGACGGAGCAUCCCACCAAGCUCUAAGCUCCGACUAAGCGAAGCACCACGUCUCCGACCCUGGGGACAUCAUGAUCGGGAAAUCUCAUCGGCGGUGAGGUAACGCUUGGUGUGGGCUUUCAGCGGAAGCACAAGGAAAGGCAAGUACAUGUCUAUUUGAGGAUGUGAGAUCCAUACGGUAGAGGAUAGGAGCCUAGGUGAGGAUGUGUCUCAGAACACGACGGAGGGCCUAUGGACGGAGUAGCCGAGGAGGCGGGAUGGACGCAUGGCAGUGUCCGGGUAUUAGGAGUGCCGAGCUUAUGUUCUCCAUGGGAAGGGAUUUUUGUUUUGGUGUUGUCGAGCUCUUGUGUGGGAUGUUGGCUUUUACUUCCGAUAAAAUAAAUGUUUGAUUUGGUAUCAUGUUAUAAGUAUAUGCCUAGUUUGUGUUUGGUGGGUUGAUGCAAUGAAAAAAAAAAACUGAGGGUUGGUUACGGGAUGUUUCAGUUCUA